CCUUUCACUAGCGAGACUGAAUAAAGUAACCCUCCACUGCAACCAGACAGACCCAGAGAAGAUCUGCAGGGUUAAGGACUGGGAGAGGCCAACGAAUCGGAAGGAAGUGCUGCAGUUCUUGGGGUUCGCUGGAUAUUGCAGGCGGUACGUUGAAGGCUACUCAAGCAUAGCUGCUCCUUUAUACCACCUCACAUCUGGUGAUCCCAGAAAGAAAAUGAGGGGAAAGAAGAGAUUGGGUCCCGAACCACCCUUUUUUAUGGCCGUGGACAGUGGUAAGACCGUAGUGCUGGCAGCACUGGGCCGGCCCUUCCGUCUGGGGAUGCUCUACGACUGUCGCAAUGACUCACUGAUCCCCGGUAAAUAAAUACAAGUCCCGAAACAAUAUCCCUAAUUUGUGUUAUUUUAAGGAGAAUUUUUGGAAUAAUCUGGUUGGUGUGACUCAGGGCCAUAGGCUUUCUUUCUUUCUUUCUUUCUUUCUUUCUUUCUUUCUUUCUUUCUUUCUUUCUUUCUUUCUUUCUUUCUUUCUUUCUUUCUUUCUUUCUUUCUUUCUUUCUUUCUUUCUUUCUUUCUUUCUUUCUUUUUUAAGACA